rnacentral:miRNA from 1 species
AACCAUUUUGCGAAUGUUGGUGACAUUGGUGAAGUUGAUGACGUUGAUGACGUUGGUGACGUUGGUUCAUGUUCAUGGCAACAGCAGCAGCAACAACAGCAGCAGCAGCAACAACAGCAGCAGCAGACAGGAGACA